GGCGCGGUAGCUCAGUGGUAGAGCAGGGGUCUCAUAAGCCCUUGGUCGGCAGUUCAACUCUGCCCCGCGCCACCA
rnacentral:tRNA from 1 species